GAGUUUGAUCCUGGCUCAGGACGAACGCUGGUGGCGUGCCUAACACAUGCAAGUCAAGGGGAAAGGGGUAGCAAUAUCCCGAGUACACUGGCGCACGGGUGAGUAACGCGUAGGCAACCUGCCUUCAGGACGGGGAUAAUUCAGCGAAAGCUGGACUAAUACCCGAUGACAUUCUGUUGCAGCAUUGUAACGGAAUCAAAAGCCCGCAAGGGUGCCCGGAGAUGGGCCUGCGUCCCAUUAGGUAGUUGGUGAGGUAACGGCUCACCAAGCCAACGAUGGGUAGCUGGUCUGAGAGGAUGAUCAGCCACACUGGAACUGAGACACGGUCCAGACUCCUACGGGAGGCAGCAGUGAGGAAUAUUGCGCAAUGGCCGAAAGGCUGACGCAGCGACGCCGCGUGAGGGAUGAAGUCCGUUAGGAUGUAAACCUCUUUUGCAGGGGAUGAAUGUCCCGUUUGACGGGAUUGACAGUACCCUGCGAAUAAGGAUCGGCUAACUACGUGCCAGCAGCCGCGGUAAUACGUAGGAUCCGAGCGUUGUCCGGAAUUACUGGGUGUAAAGGGCGUGUAGGUGGGUUCCUAAGUCGAUGGUGAAAUCCUGCAGCUUAACUGCAGAACUGCCUUCGAUACUGGGGAUCUUGAGUGCGGCAGAGGGAGAUGGAAUUCAUGGUGUAGCGGUGAAAUGUGUAGAUAUCAUGA
rnacentral:rRNA from 1 species